UACGUAGGGGGCGAGCGUUGUCCGGAUUUAUUGGGCGUAAAGAGCGUGUAGGCGGUUCGGUAAGUCUGUCGUGAAAUCCUGAGGCUCAACCUCGGGCGUGCGAUGGAUACUGCCGGGCUAGAGGGUGGUAGAGGCGAGUGGAAUUCCCGGUGUAGCGGUGAAAUGCGCAGAUAUCGGGAGGAACACCAGUAGCGAAGGCGGCUCGCUGGGCCACACCUGACGCUGAGACGCGAAAGCAUGGGGAGCGAACAGG
rnacentral:rRNA from 1 species